AGUGACUGUAUGAUGGACUGUGUGUUGUUCUGUAUGUAAGAUGUGUGAUCGAUAUGGACAGAGUUUUGAAAAGUCAUUGAGAACAUUCCACUCCAAAACCAUGAAGAAAGUUUUUUCACAAAGUCAUUGUAGGAUCCUCAUGCGAUUUCACUCACUUUAAUUCAUCUUCAAAGAAUGUCCUCUAAAAAUGUAUUGUUGCUGAAAUGCUUUAGUGAAAUAAAUAUGUCAUGUAAAAUGCAACUUCAACAUGAGGGCUUAGAGGAAUCUGGCAACUUCAACAUGAGGUCUUAGAGGAAUCUGGCAACUUCAACAUGAGGUCUUAGAGGAAUCUGGCAACUUCAACAUGAGGUCUUAGAGGAAUCUGGCAACUUCAACAUGAGGUCUUAGAGGAAUCUGGCAACUUCAACAUGAGGUCUUAGAGGAAUCUGGCAACUUCAACAUGAGGUCUUAGAGGAAUCUGGCAACUUCAACAUGAGGUCUUAGAGGAAUCUGGCAACUUCAACAUGAGGGCUUAGAGGAAUCUGGCAACUUCAACAUGAGGUCUUAGAGGAAUCUGGCAACUUCAACAUGAGGUCUUAGAGGAAUCUGGCAACUUC